GUCCCUGUAGUGCAAUGGAUAGCACGUUGGACUUCUAAUCCAAAGGUCUUGAGUUCGAGCCCUACCUGGGAUG